rnacentral:rRNA from 1 species
AGAAUCUUUCGCAAUGCCCGAAAGGGUGACGAAGCGACGCCGCGUGUGGGAAGAAGGCCUUCGGGUUGUAAACCACUGUCGGGAGUUAAGAAAUGCAAGGAUAUUAAUAGUGUCUUUGCUUGACUAAGGCUCCGGAGGAAGCCACGGCUAACUCUGUGCCAGCAGCCGCGGUAAUACAGAGGCGGCAAGCGUUGUUCGGAAUUAUUGGGCGUAAAGAGCACGUAGGCGGCUAUGUAAGUCGGUUGUGAAAGCCUUCCGCUCAACGGGAGAACAGCAUCCGAUACUACAUGGCUUGAGUGCGGGAGGGGAGAGUGGAACUUCUGGUGGAGCGGUGAAAUGCGUAGAUAUCAGAAGGAACGCCGGCGGCGAAAGCGGCUCUCUGGCCCAUAACUGACGCUGAGUGUGCGAAAGCUAGGGGAGCAAACGGGAUUAGAUACCCCGGUAGUCCUAGCCGUAAACGAUGGGCACUAAGUAGAGGGGUUUUGAUUAUCUCUCUGCCGGAGCUAACGCAUUAAGUGCCCCGCCUGGGGAGUACGGCCGCAAGGCUAAAACUCAAAAGAAUUGACGGGGGCUCGCACAAGCGGUGGAGCAUGUGGCUUAAUUCGAUGCAACGCGAAGAACCUUACCGGGGUUUGACAUGGUAGAAGUAGAAGCCUGAAAGGGUGACGAACGGUAUCCAGUCCGUAGCUAUCACAGGUGUUGCAUGGCUG